UACGUAGGGUGCGAGCGUUGUCCGGAAUUAUUGGGCGUAAAGAGCUCGUAGGCGGUCUGUCGCGUCGGUCGUGAAAACUUGGGGCUUAACCCUGAGCUUGCGGUCGAUACGGGCAUGACUGGAGUUCGGCAGGGGAGACUGGAAUUCCUGGUGUAGCGGUGAAAUGCGCAGAUAUCAGGAGGAACACCGGUGGCGAAGGCGGGUCUCUGGGCCGAUAUUGACGCUGAGGAGCGAAAGCGUGGGGAGCAAACAGG
rnacentral:rRNA from 1 species